rnacentral:rRNA from 1 species
UACGAGGGGGGCUAGUGUUGUUCGGAAUCACUGGGCGUAAAGGGCGCGUAGGCGGGAGCCUAAGUUGGGUGUUUAAUUCCGGGGCCCAACCCCGGGCGUGCACUCAAAACUGGGUUUCUUGAAUAGGGGAGAGGUCGAUGGAAUUGGAGGUGUAGCGGUGGAAUGCGUAGAGAUCUCCAAGAACACCGGUUGCGAAGGCGGUCGACUGGACCCAUAUUGACGCUGAGGCUCGAAAGCGUGGGGAGCAAACAGG